rnacentral:lncRNA from 1 species
CUGUAUCAUUUCUGCUUCAUUUCAAAAUUUGAAAUGCAUCAUUUCUGCUUCAGAACAUGGCUUUGCCUUGUAUCAUAUUUUCUGGGACAGGUGCUGUUUUGAAUCAGAUCAGUAUUUGGUCUCAGGAAGUGCAGGCAUGAUCUUUAAGGAUUCAUCUACGGCAGAAAUGUUACCAAAUACUCCAGUCCAAGCAUUCAUCCUUAACUAAAUAGAGAAAUAUUCAUUAGAUAUGCUACCGAAGAAAGAAGGCAAGGCUGUCCGGAAGAAAAAAUAAGUACACAUCUUACCAUCAUUAAUUUCAAAAUCCAACGAUUAAAAACAAUUAAUUGCAUGCAUCAAAGUAUGCCCGCUCCAAAAUGUUAUACUUCAAUUCUGCUUUAAAAUAAAAAAUGAAAAAAUUGGAAUGAAAAUACUCGACAAAAAUCUGCAAUCUAAAAUUUUGAUUGAAGUGAAUAAAAAAACUUUGGACUAAAAAUCGUCUAACUUUGUAUGCUAUUAAAUUUUAAGAUAAAAGUUAUGAUUUCAUCUGUGAGUAAUCAACCUAUGAGGCAGCACUAAUUACCUUGACAAACACCGAUAAAAAAACAAAUAGCCUCAACAUAAUAUCUGACCUAUGAAGAAAGAAACAAGUGAGUGGCAUUUCAAUUAUACAGAACUGCAAAAUUAAAAAAAAAAACUACUUUAUUUUACAUAAUCAAACGAUUUUAAAUAUUUGACCAGGAAACAUAACUUAGUAGGACAAGAAUGCAGCUAAAUUAUGAAAGCCAUUUUGCUUGCAGAUAUUAAUUAGACAUUUCGGUUUUUCUUUUAUUUUUCACAAUUUGAGCAGCUUUACUUUUAAUUUUAUCAAGAAUCGAGUAUGGCGAUGUCACAAAAAGAAAGCAUAAGGGGGUUUGCAACAGACAGCAAAAUCAUUCAAGAAACUAGUGAGUUAGAGAAAAGCUCUUAUGCAACAACUGAAGCAGAUCUCAUUGAGCGCCCAUACACACCAGUUCAAACUGGAGAUGAGUUUGCGCCAAAAAUUUUUGAGCAAUAAGGAACCACAGAAACUCC